GAUGAACGCUAGCUACAGGCUUAACACAUGCAAGUCGAGGGGAAACGAUAUUGGAAGCUUGCUUCCGAUAGGCGUCGACCGGCGCACGGGUGAGUAACGCGUAUCCAACCUGCCCACCACUUGGGGAUAACCUUGCGAAAGUAAGACUAAUACCCAACGAUAUCUCUAGAAGACAUCUGAAGGAGAUUAAAGACUUAUCGGUGAUGGAUGGGGAUGCGUCUGAUUAGCUUGUUGGCGGGGUAACGGCCCACCAAGGCGACGAUCAGUAGGGGUUCUGAGAGGAAGGUCCCCCACAUUGGAACUGAGACACGGUCCAAACUCCUACGGGAGGCAGCAGUGAGGAAUAUUGGUCAAUGGACGAGAGUCUGAACCAGCCAAGUAGCGUGCAGGAUGACGGCCCUAUGGGUUGUAAACUGCUUUUAUAAGGGAAUAAAGUGAGCCUCGUGAGGCUUUUUGCAUGUACCUUAUGAAUAAGGACCGGCUAAUUCCGUGCCAGCCGCCGCUGUAA
rnacentral:rRNA from 1 species